CCUACGGGUGGCAGCAGUGGGGAAUAUUGGACAAUGGGGGGAACCCUGAUCCAGCCAUGCCGCGUGUGUGAAGAAGGCCCUCGGGUUGUAAAGCACUUUCAGUGAGGAAGAACGCCUGGUGGUUAAUACCCAUCAGGAAAGACAUCACUCACAGAAGAAGCACCGGCUAACUCCGUGCCAGCAGCCGCGGUAAUACGGAGGGUGCGAGCGUUAAUCGGAAUUACUGGGCGUAAAGCGCGCGUAGGUGGCUUGAUAAGCCGGUUGUGAAAGCCCCGGGCUCAACCUGGGAACGGCAUCCGGAACUGUCAAGCUAGAGUGCAGGAGAGGAAGGAAGAAUUCCCGGUGUAGCGGUGAAAUGCGUAGAGAUCGGGAGGAAUACCAGUGGCGAAGGCGGCCUUCUGGACUGACACUGACACUGAGGUGCGAAAGCGUGGGUAGCAAACAGGAUUAGAUACCCGGGUAGUC
rnacentral:rRNA from 1 species